GAGGGCUAGAGGACGGUUUGCCACCGAUGCUUCCGACUUUUUCCCCUGGGCGGUAAAUGUACCUUUUGAGUGUGGAAAGCUGAAAGUCGGUAGAGACUGCCUUUACCGUUUGACAGAAGUAUGGACGGGGGAUUUAGUGAUUUUGGACUACAACACCAGGAAAAAUCAGGUAGUCUUUGGAGGAUGUAAAGUCCCCGAAAGCUUCGGCCCAAUGCAACAUGCAUACACGGCAGGCCCAGCAGUGGACUGACCCUGCAGACAAGCCGGGGCCCCGGCCCAAGACAUCUCUCGACUCGAUGGAUUUGGACUACGACUUCAGGAUGGACAUAUCAAAUCCAGGACUGGUUUAGGUCUUCGUCACAAAGGCCCCUGAAGAGACCGAUAAUAAAGCUGGACAAUUGUGAACUUGUGAGAAAAUGAACUUAACGCCCACUGAGAGGUGAAAUGACCUUUUAAACAUGUGUUUGAAAUUGUGUCUUAGUUUGUCGAAUGAUCUGUCUGGGGGAUUGGGACUCGUGCAACCCAAGUACCUAUGACUGUGCCAGGGCACUGUACAAGGCAAGACCUACCUUCUCACUGGUGUGUCUUGGUGGCAGAAGAUGGACCUUUCACAAAACGGAAGACGACGAGCGAUUGGAAAGCUUUGUCAGGUAGCUUAAGAUGGUUUACCACUUAGCAGGACUUGUAUCACUGGACCAGGAGCAGAAUCCACCUUGUUUCACUCUGCACAGCGCAUAGCUGUCGGCUGGACGUCCUUAUCACUACCGAAUGUUUCCUGUCAGCUCGUCAAGGUUCCUGAGGAGCGACUCGAAGACCCUGGUGGCCGAUCGUCUAUUAGGGGAUUGCAGUGAAAAAAAUUCCUGGGAAC